rnacentral:rRNA from 1 species
UACAGGGGGGGCAAGCGUUGUUCGGAAUUACUGGGCGUAAAGGGCUCGUAGGCGGCCAACUAAGUCACACGUGAAAUCCCCGGGCUCAACCUGGGAAUGGCGAUGGAUACUGGACAGCUAGAGUGUGUCAGAGGAUGGUGGAAUUCCCGGUGUAGCGGUGAAAUGCGUAGAGAUCGGGAGGAACAUCAGUGGCGAAGGCGGCCAUCUGGGACAACACUGACGCUGAAGCACGAAAGCGUGGGGAGCAAACAGG